UCCCCGUUAUCCUAGGCAGUCCUUUCAGAGUUCCCGGCAUGACCCGUUGGCAACUGGAAGCAGGGGUUGCGCUCGUUGUGGGACUUAACCCAACACCUCACGGCACGAGCUGACGACAGCCAUGCAGCACCUCUACUACUGUCCCUUGCGGGAAGACGAUAUUUCUACCGUUGGUCAGUAGCGGUUCAAGCCCAGGUAAGGUUCUUCGCGUUGCGUCGAAUUAAACCACAUACUCCACCGCUUGUGCGGGCCCCCGUCAAUUCCUUUGAGUUUCAGUCUUGCGACCGUACUCCCCAGGCGGCGAACUUAACGCGUUAGCUUCGAUACUGGGCACCAAGUUGUGCCCAACAUCCAGUUCGCAUCGUUUAGGGCGUGGACUAC
rnacentral:misc_RNA from 1 species